UACGAAGGGGGCUAGCGUUGCUCGGAAUCACUGGGCGUAAAGGGUGCGUAGGCGGGUCUUUAAGUCAGGGGUGAAAUCCUGGAGCUCAACUCCAGAACUGCCUUUGAUACUGAAGAUCUUGAGUUCGGGAGAGGUGAGUGGAACUGCGAGUGUAGAGGUGAAAUUCGUAGAUAUUGGGAGGAACACCAGUGGCGAAGGCGGCUCACUGGACCGGUACUGACGCUGAGGCGCGAAAGCGUGGGGAGCAAACGGG
rnacentral:rRNA from 1 species